UACAGAGGGGGCAAGCGUUGUUCGGAAUUACUGGGCGUAAAGGGCGCGUAGGCGGCCUGUUAAGUCGAACGUGAAAUCCCCGGGCUCAACCCGGGAACUGCGUCCGAUACUGGCAGGCUUGAAUUCGGGAGAGGGAUGCGGAAUUCCAGGUGUAGCGGUGAAAUGCGUAGAUAUCUGGAGGAACACCGGUGGCGAAGGCGGCAUCCUGGACCGAGAUUGACGCUGAGGCGCGAAAGC
rnacentral:rRNA from 1 species